GUAAUAUGUUAUUUUUUGGAGAGUAUCGGAUAGAUUACGAUUCGGAGAUUAAUGGCUGUUGAGUAAUACGUGUUAGUAAUAAUCCUCUUUUUAACACGGUCUGAUGGAAAAGCUUUAAAUUAAUUACACAUGAAAUCUGUCGAUCAUGGUCGCGAGAAAAUGAGAAGAAAAAACAGAGGAUCUAUAUCUGUAGAUUCUGUACUGCUAAUUUAAAUAAACGAAGGCUAGAUUUCUAAGUAGAUCCCCAUCGUGCCGUAUCAAAUUUAAUUUAUAGUAUGUGAGCUGCGUUGCUGCCAUGCAGAUAAUUUUGUUGCUGCCAGCUUGGUGAGAGGUAGUUCGAGUUGACCUGCAGUUGCUGCAAGCAACCCAUUCCAAUCCCCAGUAACAUCAACCAGAAGAAGGAAAGACCAGUUUGCAUGUCCUUCCUUCGCGCUCGAAGGUCACAUUGAUGUUUAAGUUAUUAAACGUGGAUGCAGUGCUGUAGAGGUUGGACCCAUCCCCAUCAGCGACGUCAACCUGUAGAAGGAUAGGCCAGUUUGCUUCGAAGGUCACGGAAAUCAUUAGGUAAAACGUGUCAUGUGGUGUAGAGGUUGGGUGAGAAAGUGACGUGUUUCAUUAUCAAGCAGGUACUACAAUACCCGCAAGGCUUAGGAGGUGAUGGUGAGAAAAAAUUCGUAUAAAAGGAGAGAGAAAAGAAUACAGACAUCAGUUAGGUGAUCAACCGACACGGCAACAACUCCUGUGGACUACCUACAACCAAUUGGCUUCUUCAUUACCAGCUUCGCAACAUUCCGAUUUUCUACAUAGAGUCCGAUUUUCUACAUAGAGU